CAUAGCAGUGAUGAGUCGCACAGAUCUGUAAUGAUUUGUGGUUAUGGUUGCAAUUUUUAAGAGCAUCUUAGGGACUGAGUUUUC